GACGAACGCUGGCGGCGUGCCUAAUACAUGCAAGUCGAACGCAGUGGGGACGGGUGAGUAACACGUGGGUAACCUCCCAUCAGAGGGGAUAACACUUGGAAAAAGGUGCUAAACCGAGACUGAGGGAUGGACCAGCGGUGCAUUAGCUAGUGGGUGGGGUAACGGCUCACCAGGGCCACGAUGCAUAGCCGACCUGAGAGGGUGAUAGGCCAAACUGGGACUGAGACACGGCCCAGACUCCUACGGGAGGCAGCAGGAGGGAAUCUUCGGCAAUGGGCGAAAGUCUGACCGAGCAACGCCGCGUGAGUGAAGAAGGUUUUCGGAUCGUAAAACUCUGUUGUUAGAGAAGCGGUAUCUAACCAGAAAGCCACGGCUAACUACGUGCCAGCAGCCGCGGUAAUUC
rnacentral:rRNA from 1 species